UGGGAAUUGUAGUUUCGGUGCCGCGUGCUGCAGCGCCGUGGCGCUCGGUGGGAACUCGGUGUCCCAGCGCGCCCCGGGCAGGUGCUGUCGCGGCGGCCGUGAGGAGAGCGUCAGGCGGGAAAGGCGGGCAGCGCUGUGAGCGGGCGCCGGGCCUGCGCAGCUUCAGGCUGCAGGAGGACGAGGCCAGGAUGGGAGAGGCUGAUGGAGAACGUGCCAGCCAGAGAGACACGGGCCUGUCUGCGCUGUGCCGUGCCCACAUUGCUGUGACGAACGUGCAUUAAAGUUGCCAGACAUUUGGAAAACCAUACAUACAGCUGUUCCUGGGCCUACAUCAAGGACCUC
rnacentral:lncRNA from 1 species